UACGAAGGGGGCUAGCGUUGCUCGGAAUUACUGGGCGUAAAGGGAGCGUACGCGGACUGUUUAGUCAGAGGUGAAAGCCCAGGGCUCAACCUUGGAAUUGCCUUUGAUACUGGCAGUCUUGAGUACGGAAGAGGUAUGUGGAACUCCGAGUGUAGAGGUGAAAUUCGUAGAUAUUCGGAAGAACACCAGUGGCGAAGGCGACAUACUGGUCCGUUACUGACGCUGAGGCUCGAAAGCGUGGGGAGCAAACAAG
rnacentral:rRNA from 1 species